GGGUCAUAUUAGGUUUCUUGAUCUCCAAUACAAUAAGCUGAAUGGAUCAUUGCCCACCUUGAUGUGUAAUUCCAGCUCUCUUUAUAUUCUAAAUCUCUCUCACAACAAUUUGAGUGGUGUACUACCCAGUUGUCCUACAAAUUUGACUCGUCUUUCAGUGUUGGAUCUGCGGAGGAAUAAAAUUCAGGGAAACAUUCCAGCAACCUUGUCAAAUUUCCGUAACCUGGAAACUAUUAAUUUGAAUGGAAACCGAUUACAAGGAAGCAUUCCUUCUUCUUUUGCUGAAUUUGAUUCUUUAGCCAUUCUUGAUCUUGGAAAUAAUAAGAUAAAUGAUACAUUCCCCCGGUGUUUGGAAGCUCUUCCAAAUCUUCAAGUUCUUGUUCUCAAAUCAAACAAGUUUUAUGGUCUUAUAAACACUAGUUCUAAGAUUGUAUACCCAUUUCCUAGAUUGAGAAUCAUUGAUCUGUCGGACAAUGAGUUUUCCGGUCCACUGCCAGCGAAAUACUUCAGAAACUUCAAGGCUAUGAUGAAUAGUGAUGUAAGCAAAAUAGAUCGCAGUUAUAUGAAUUAUAGUUCCUAUUACAGUGAUUCCACGACUCUGGUGAUUAAAGGAGUAGACAUGGAGUUGGUAAAGAUAUUAACUAUUUUUACAACCAUGGAUGUCUCAAGGAACCAUUUUGAAGGGGAGAUUGUAGAAUCAAUUGGAAAUCUGGUGUCACUUAGACUUCUCAAUUUAUCUCACAAUCAUCUCAGAGGCCGCAUACCAUUCAUGAUUGGAAAUUUGUCAAUGCUGGAAUCACUAGACCUCUCAUUCAACCAACUUGAAGGAGAAAUUCCGCAACAGCUCACCAGUAUAUAUACACUUGAACGUCUUAAUCUGUCAUGCAACCAACUCAGUGGUCGUAUUCCACAAGGUUCUCAGUUUAAUACAUUUGAUAAUGAUAGCUAUGCUGGUAACUUGGGGCUGUGUGGAAAUCCAUUGUCCAAAAAGUGUGAACCUGAUAUUGUGGAGAAAGAAAGUGACGAAGAUGAGGAUGAUGAUUACUUCUUUAGUGGAUUUACUUGGGAAGCGGUGGUGAUUGGAUAUGGGUGUGGAGUGGUGCCUGCAUUUAUCACUGGCUACCUGAUGUUGUUGGCACGGAAACCAAAAUGGUUUGCUGGAAUCAUUGGCAGGGAAUUGGGCCUGAAGAUCAGGAGGAUGGAGAUUAGAAUGCGAUAACUAAAGGUUUGCUGUAAUCUAUAUCCCAUUUGUAGGUCUUCAAUAUUCAGUAAUAAUAUAGUAAUAUCUGCUAUCAUAUAAUUCUAUAUUUGCAGAUUGGAGAGGCAUGAACAUUUUGGCAUGUAAGUUGAUGGGACAAGCAGGAUUCAGAUGCACAUGAAUCAACUACUUCGGUGUUGUAGGCAGCUAGGUUAAUAAACCACUACUUGAGCUGUUAAGCAUCUUUGGUCAUUUUAAAUAUAAAUUGUACAAUAAAAGAUACUUACUCUGCACAUAUUCUAAGUUCCAUAUACAAGUUCUGUAUUGUUUAGUUACUCUGCACAAACUCUAAGUUAGUUUCAACCACUGGGGUGUAAGCAGCCAAGUUAAUAAACCAGCAGUUUCUGUAGCUUUCACAACGUUGCUUCAUAUUAUUUUCCCCCUUGUUAGAUGAGCAAUAUAUUUGUGGAAUGGAUGUACCUGAAUUUGGUAUCCGAAGCUUAGUUAUAGAAAUUGUAGAUCAGCUAGUUUGCAACUUACUGGAAUGCUUUCCAUUGGACUUGAUUUACUCGUAGAGAAGCAGCACGCAAUGUUAAGGAAGGCCUGAUACAUAAUGUAUUUAAGAUAAUGUUUUGCAUCAAUUAUUACAAAAAGCUACUACUUUAAAUUGAUGAACAUUUACUAUAGCAGUACUGUGGUAUUAAAGUGAGUACUAAUAUUAGUGGCGGAGGCAGAACACAAUGUUAGGGGGGCACUUUUUAAUUUUUAACAUUCUAGGGGCAAUUUUUAACAUUCCAGGGGACACAAAAAAUAAUAUUUUGUAGAUUAAUAUUAUCAAAUAGAGUUAAGUUCUAUGGAGUACAUAAAAACAUUAGAGUAUUGGAGUACAAAUCAUAAUUUUUUUUAGUUUGAUUCUAUAUAAUAUCUUUGAAUAUCCAAAUUUUGAUAUAAUCUAUCAUUUAUAAGUUGUGUUGCACAUAAUUGUCAAUUAAUCAUUAAUAUCUUUCAACUUUAACAAAGAUUAAGAUUAUUGUUCUGCUUAUUAGUUAUAUUGCAGAACAUAGAGUCCUAUGAUUUAUAAAAGUAAUUAUUCUACCAUUUGAUCAUGAUGUUUAUGUUGCAGAACAUAAUGUGCAGGUUGUCAAAUAUUUACAAAUAUUAUUGGACAAAAAAAUUGAAAUUUAGAUGACUAAAUUACAUUUUAUCAAACUUUGUACUCCAAUACUCCAAUUUUUUUUUGUACUCCAUAGAACUUAACUCUUAUCAAAUAUAUGGAUCUUAUAUAAAAACAUACACAUUUUUCUGAAACUUAUGAGGGCAUGGGCACCCAGAGGCCCCCAUGUCCCUCCGCCUCUGCUAAUAUAAGAUGUUAGUCGAGUUCGAAGAAGUUUUGGAAUUCUUUUUAUUGAGAGUUUUUGCAAAACGUGGUUAGGAAAUUGAGAAUUUUGAGUUUUAAAAUUAGCUGUAAAAAAUAAUCGGUCAAUUGUAUUAGAUAUUACAUGCAUUUGAGUUUUAAAAUUAGGUGUAAAAAAUAAUGGGUCAACUGCAACAGAAAUGAAUUGGUUUGGUUUCACCCGGAAGAGUUCUGCACUUCACACUCUAGAUUCCAGAAAUAAAAAAAUUCAAAUAUAAAAUGUCAAAUAUUUUAGUUUAUACUCCCUCCGUCCAUUUUAGAUUUUUAGUUGUCACUGCCGGUCAAAUUGACCAAAAUUUGACUAAAAUUUAUUAAUAUUUUAUUAAUUGAAAAAAUAAAAAAAUUAUGUUACCACAAAUUACUUUCAAUCUACAUGAAAUUUUCAAUUUUUUAAAAUAAUGAAGAAGUAACUUGUAAUCUUUGAUCAAAAAUUAGUUAAUUUGACAUAAAAAAAAAAUUGUUACAACUAAAAUGGACCAAGGAAGUACAUAAGAUUUGCUAGUUACCUGCUUACCUUCACUCCUUAUGUCUUAAGCCACUCUUUAUUAUUUUUGAUUACAUAAUAAAUAUGUUUAAACUUUUAACUUUUUAUAUUUAAUAAAUUUAUAUAAUUUAAUUAUUAAAUUUUUUGAUUUGUAUUAAGUUUAAUUUAUAGAUACAUUUAUAUCAAAAUUACUAAAAUCAAUCAAAAUUUUAAUAUUUUGAUUCAGUAACCAGAAUAUAAAUAUAUUUAACUUUUGAAAUGAUAUAUAAAUAGUUUAUGAUUAAAAAAAAUUAAUAAGUAACUUGCACAAUUUCUCUUAAUUACAGUAAUAAAUCUCUUAUUAGUACUUUCAACUAAAUAUUUCUCCCAAACACUUAUAAUUUAUGUCCAAUUUUCAUAUUAUUUCUUUUAGAAAGAUUGUUGUAUUAUUUUAAAUUUUAGUAAUUAAAUCAGUUUUAUUUUUAUGAAUUCCAAAUUUAAAAACCUUAAUAUUUUUGUCACGCUACUUCUUAUUUGUAAUACAAAUUAUUUCUAGAUAAAAUUAAUAUAUUAAUAAAUAUAGUGUAAUUAACUACAUAUAAUACAUUGAAAUUAAAUAAAUAUGCUCUGUACAUUUUUUUCACAUGCAAAAAACUGCACUGUUUCGGUUUAAGCAAAGCUUGAUAAUCAGGACUCCUAGCUGGAAUGGCGAGUAUUAUUCCUACGAAGAAGAUGAUGUUCAUGAUAUCCCUUCACCCCCAAAGACAAUGAAUUGGAGCAUGAAUUCUGAUUACUGUGCAUGUGGGAUGGAGUUAGCUGCGACGAGAAUACAGGGGACCUAACCGGACUGGAUUUAAGCUGCAGUCAUCUGGUGCAUUGGAAUGAAAUUAUAGAACUUCUUCAGAGCCUGAUGCUCUCGAGGAUGCAGUAAUGAACAAGCCUAAUGAUGAUCAUGAGUCAUAACUCCGUCCUCGAGAGCCUGAUGCUCUCGAGGAUGCACUAAUGAACAAGCCUAAUGAUGAUCAUGAGUCAUAACUCCGUCCUUGAAUAAAGUGUCAUGAAACAUAUUUUGUAUUACAUUUUGUAUUAUUGGAAACUUGAUUUGAAACCAAAAUAGUUUGGUGGAAUCAUUGCCAGGGUAUUGGGUCUGAAGAUCGAGGAUGGAGAAUAAAUUGAUUUUGUUCAAAUAUUUAACACAAGCCCAUCAUCAUUAUCCAACACAAGCCCGGUCCAGUAUAGAGUUCUGGCAACUCCAUUGUUGAACACUUCUGUUGAAGUUGGCCUGUCUGGCAGACAAGAGGCCCUGUUUUAGAGGUGAUAUAUGCGCACAGGUAAAAAAUGUAUAUUUCUUCCAAUAGAUUACAUCUCUUUUCUUCAAAAUUUAUUGUAGUUUCAAAAAGUAGCAUUUGAGAACUCAUUCUAUUCCCCUUUUAAAUACUUGGUCUUGGUCAAUACAAACACGAUUAAGACCGGUGUCAAUAUCCCUCAUAAUUUUUCCACUCCUUUGAAUGGCAUUCUACAAUCCACAUAUCAGACUCAUAAAUAAUUAGUUGAAAUCAUUACCAUAGUCCAUAGCGAAAAGACUUUCACCAUUGAACCAUUGCAUAGAUAAUUGAAGAAAGAAACUUCAACAUAUUUGCAUAUCUUUAUCUAUCUUUUUUUCUAGUCAUCAACAGGCACAAGCUGUUGAUUUUUAUAUGUUCUUAAUUGGUAUAAGCAUUUAAGGUGAGUGUUGAUAUUUCUCACUAAUCUUCUUCUGCUCUAAGUGACAUAUUAUUACAAUCCACAAAUUAGUAGACAGACUAAUAUGGUUAGUUGAGACCAUCAAUCUGGAGAACAGACUAAUACAUGUGUAGUAAUCUGAUCAUCAUUUAUUUGAUUACAAUAGAAAUUCGGCUUUGUUUAGUUCCAUCCUCGGGCUCUUCAUUUCUAAACAUAUUUGCUGAUACUUUUUAUUGUACAAUUUAGAAUAUUCCAUAAAAUUUUAUAUUCGGUGCUAGAUGAAUUUAUGUCUUGUUUUCAUUCCAUUCAUGAACUAAUGAAAAUUUUAAAAUUGGGUCAUAUUAGGCAGUGAUGCCACCUUUCUGGACCUGCAUUUCAUGACCACAAACUCCUAUUGUGCCAAAAAAUUCCAGCUGUUUCGUGAGAUUUUUCUACGUGCUCUUUUGUUCGGACUUGUUUGCUGAAUCCCACAAUAGACAAUAUUGAUGUUAACAACUCUUGCGUCAGUUACUAGACUCGUUGUUAGUAGCCCAUUCUUUACGGCAGACGUGGAAUUUACUUGAAGAAAUGAAGGUGUAAGAACAGGGGCGGAUCCAGCCUUCGCAUCUCACCCGGGCUGAAAGCCUGAAACACUUAUAACCUUGAAGGUAUACAGUGGAGGUGAAGAGGGGAAAAAAAUAUAUAUGGUACUGACAGUGACAUGGAAAUAUGGAUAUUAUUCUUUUAACCUGCUGCAGGGACUAUCAGCUGGUAAAUUCAUGUCAAAUCAAUUUUUUUGACNGCCGAGACGAGUCGGCGAGACGGCCGAGACGAGUCGUCGACGUGCGAGACGAGUUGGCGCGAGACGGGCGAAGCGAGACAUCUCCGAGACGAGUCAUGCGUGCGUGCCGAUACGUACGAGCCGAGACGAGGCGUCCACGUUUUCUCAAACCCAGGCUCGUGAUCGCCUCGUCUAUUUNACUAUAACUAAUAAUUCAUGUCAAAAUCAAGAUUAUAAAAAUUAAUAAUAUGACUACAAAAAUAAAAUAUAAACGUAAGGUAAUAACAUAUGGUAAACCUGAAUAUAUUUUAGUAACAAUUGUUUUGACAUAGUUAGAUUAAGGGAUUAAAUUAUUAUAUAAAAUAAUAAAAGUAGCUAUAUAUUAAAAAAAUAAAGCUAUAUUUAUAUAAUUAGUUUAAACACGUCAAAAGGUCAAAAAGCAAGAUUAAACCGCUUAGCUUAUAUAAACACCAUGACCGACUGUUUGACCUAAACUAAACAAAUUUAUAUUUAAAAUACAAAAUUACAUGAAUAAAACCGAAAUAGGGUUACAAUUCAUAAAAGUUAACAGCAACUCUGGUUAAUUAAUAAAGUUCCAGACCCAAAACUGAGAAAAGUGUCGGGCUUUUUAAAAUUUUAGACCGGGCUAAAGAUCAGUAAACUUUCGUCGAGGCUGGUAAAAUUUUUUGUAUCAUAAAACUCACCCGGGCUUUAGCCCACCGGAGCCCAUACAUAGAGAAAGUUGAGAACAUUUUGUUGAUUAUUCCCUUCCCUAGAAACUGCACUCCGCCAUCAAAGUACCUUUCAAAGACUCCAGCAUCAUUUCUUGAUUAUCAAAGUCUUCGUCUUUGUCAUCUCCUGCUCUGAAAGUGUUUCUAUUGCAGACCACAUAUUAGUAGACAGACUACUAAAAUUCAUCUAAAAUGACCUCUCUGCGUGGGCUCUUUUGAACAAUCAGGGUUGGACAUGAUUCUACACGCAUCAGAGAAAAACUAUCAGCUGGCUAAANUCUUCAAAAUUUAUUGUAGUUUCAAAAAGUAGCAUUUGAGAACUCAUUCUAUUCCCCUUUUAAAUACUUGGUCUUGGUCAAUACAAACACGAUUAAGACCGGUGUCAAUAUCCCUCAUAAUUUUUCCACUCCUUUGAAUGGCAUUCUACAAUCCACAUAUCAGACUCAUAAAUAAUUAGUUGAAAUCAUUACCAUAGUCCAUAGCGAAAAGACUUUCACCAUUGAACCAUUGCAUAGAUAAUUGAAGAAAGAAACUUCAACAUAUUUGCAUAUCUUUAUCUAUCUUUUUUUCUAGUCAUCAACAGGCACAAGCUGUUGAUUUUUAUAUGUUCUUAAUUGGUAUAAGCAUUUAAGGUGAGUGUUGAUAUUUCUCACUAAUCUUCUUCUGCUCUAAGUGACAUAUUAUUACAAUCCACAAAUUAGUAGACAGACUAAUAUGGUUAGUUGAGACCAUCAAUCUGGAGAACAGACUAAUACAUGUGUAGUAAUCUGAUCAUCAUUUAUUUGAUUACAAUAGAAAUUCGGCUUUGUUUAGUUCCAUCCUCGGGCUCUUCAUUUCUAAACAUAUUUGCUGAUACUUUUUAUUGUACAAUUUAGAAUAUUCCAUAAAAUUUUAUAUUCGGUGCUAGAUGAAUUUAUGUCUUGUUUUCAUUCCAUUCAUGAACUAAUGAAAAUUUUAAAAUUGGGUCAUAUUAGGCAGUGAUGCCACCUUUCUGGACCUGCAUUUCAUGACCACAAACUCCUAUUGUGCCAAAAAAUUCCAGCUGUUUCGUGAGAUUUUUCUACGUGCUCUUUUGUUCGGACUUGUUUGCUGAAUCCCACAAUAGACAAUAUUGAUGUUAACAACUCUUGCGUCAGUUACUAGACUCGUUGUUAGUAGCCCAUUCUUUACGGCAGACGUGGAAUUUACUUGAAGAAAUGAAGGUGUAAGAACAGGGGCGGAUCCAGCCUUCGCAUCUCACCCGGGCUGAAAGCCUGAAACACUUAUAACCUUGAAGGUAUACAGUGGAGGUGAAGAGGGGAAAAAAAUAUAUAUGGUACUGACAGUGACAUGGAAAUAUGGAUAUUAUUCUUUUAACCUGCUGCAGGGACUAUCAGCUGGUAAAUUCAUGUCAAAUCAAUUUUUUUGACUUUAUAUAUAUAUAUACUCAUUUACAUAUAAAAAAAAUAUAAAAUUUAAGAAUCUCAAAUAUUGGAGGUAGCCUGAAUAACAUUUGUUUGUCACUAAUACAAUAAAAAUUAAUUUUGUAUGAUCAGCUACAUAGACUAAAUCAUUUUAUUUUAUUUAUUUUAAACUAUAACUAAUAAUUCAUGUCAAAAUCAAGAUUAUAAAAAUUAAUAAUAUGACUACAAAAAUAAAAUAUAAACGUAAGGUAAUAACAUAUGGUAAACCUGAAUAUAUUUUAGUAACAAUUGUUUUGACAUAGUUAGAUUAAGGGAUUAAAUUAUUAUAUAAAAUAAUAAAAGUAGCUAUAUAUUAAAAAAAUAAAGCUAUAUUUAUAUAAUUAGUUUAAACACGUCAAAAGGUCAAAAAGCAAGAUUAAACCGCUUAGCUUAUAUAAACACCAUGACCGACUGUUUGACCUAAACUAAACAAAUUUAUAUUUAAAAUACAAAAUUACAUGAAUAAAACCGAAAUAGGGUUACAAUUCAUAAAAGUUAACAGCAACUCUGGUUAAUUAAUAAAGUUCCAGACCCAAAACUGAGAAAAGUGUCGGGCUUUUUAAAAUUUUAGACCGGGCUAAAGAUCAGUAAACUUUCGUCGAGGCUGGUAAAAUUUUUUGUAUCAUAAAACUCACCCGGGCUUUAGCCCACCGGAGCCCAUACAUAGAGAAAGUUGAGAACAUUUUGUUGAUUAUUCCCUUCCCUAGAAACUGCACUCCGCCAUCAAAGUACCUUUCAAAGACUCCAGCAUCAUUUCUUGAUUAUCAAAGUCUUCGUCUUUGUCAUCUCCUGCUCUGAAAGUGUUUCUAUUGCAGACCACAUAUUAGUAGACAGACUACUAAAAUUCAUCUAAAAUGACCUCUCUGCGUGGGCUCUUUUGAACAAUCAGGGUUGGACAUGAUUCUACACGCAUCAGAGAAAAACUAUCAGCUGGCUAAAGACCUCUCUGCAUCAACUCUAUUAAGAAAAGAAACUAUGGCUCAUACAGUUUAAGUUGAUAUCAAAUCGUAAAUGAGAAUACUUGCAGUUUUAAAUUACUGCACGCUAUUUUUUUUAACGAAAAUAUGUGCAGUUUUAACAUAGUCUAAUUAUUUUCUUGAUGACGGCUAUGCAAAUUGUGAUAGUUGAAUUUUUUUUAUGGUCUUUGACAAGCAUCAAGGAAAUUGUGAUAGUUGAAUUACCCUGAUUGUCAAAAACUACCUCGUAAUCAGAACGGGUUUUUUUUUGAGUUUGUUAAGGAUUCUCUCCAGGCAAAAGUUUCUCUUAUGCAGUUGAAGGUGAAAAUUAAGUCGUUGAAGAGGAAAUAUAAGUCUCUCAAAGAUUAUGAUGUUGUGUUUGACAAACCCAUGGAAGAGGAAUUGUUUCGCCUUUCCGAUAAGGUUUGGAGCCAAGGGAUUGAUAAUCAGGGUAAUGCUGCUAGCAAGGACAAGGAUAUAAGUAUCGAGAUCAAAGAGGAUGGAGUGAUUGAGGACUGUAGGAAGGAUAAGGAUACGAGCAUUGGGAUAAAUGAGGAUGGAGUGAAUGAGGCCGGUAGGAAGGAAAAGGAUACGAGAAUCGGGAUAAAUGGGGAUGGAGUGAAUGAGGACGGUAGGAAGGACAACGAUAUGAGCAUCGGGAUAAAUGGGGAUAUGGUAGAAGCCUCCAGGCUAAUGUGUCGAAGGGGAGGACAUGGAUGCUAUGGAAAUUUAGUUAGGAGGAAAUAUAAAUCAUGCUAACAGGAGCAGAUGAUGAACUUGAUUGCAAUGAAGAACUGAAGUUCCACAACGAGAUGAAGUCGACGAAGGAAGGUAGGAAGGACAAGGAUACGAUCAUCAGUCUUGUAUUUAGCUUGAUCGAAAAUAACUGUUCUCUUCAAAUUCUUUCCCUNUCUCUACUCUGUAGCUUACACAUCAUUGAUUCAUAUUAUUUUCCCUUAGGAACUUGAGAGACAUUUGGCAUCUAAAGAAGCUUCUCUCCCGCAAGAACCAUCACCAGAUGAUGAUAAUGCCGUUAACCUGCUUGUGCGGAUGCCGGAUGGCGGCCGGCAAGGCCGCAGAUUCCUCAAGUCCCACAAGCUUCAGGUAUUUAUUCCGUGACAAUAUUUUUCCAGUUAUUGGUUAAAAGUUGUAUAAUUGGUUGUUACUUGAUUUGCAGCAUCUUUUUGACUUCAUCGAUGUUGGUCGGUUGGUCAGACCUGGUACUUACAGACUGGUAAUCCUUCAUGUGCUUUUUUACCUUUCACACUUAAUUCUUGUGGGGGCACACUUAUAUUUUUACAAAGUUUUAAAUGACGAAUAAAUUCCAAAUAAUUUUUAUGGGGGACAGUCCCCCUUGCUAGAUCCCCUCCUGGUGUCCAAACUUUUUUUACAUUUCAUAAUUGAUUGUCUGGACCGGCAAAGAGCAAUGAAUAUUCAUUUUAGUCACAUAGGAGUGUCGGGGUUUGUAUUGUUGUUAUGCUUGAUAGUAUAUAGAGAGCUUAUUGACUAGUUGACUCAACAUCGUUUCUUUUUCCUUUCCCCCAUCUUCUCUGGUGAUUAAUGUUUGCGUGAUCCCACUAGUCCUUCCGCAAAAAAAAAAAGAAGUUAUAUUGUAUUUUUAAAAUGAAUUGCAUUUCAAACUAUUUGUUUGAUAAGUAGGGUACUCGUGUAAUUUAAUUGUAAUAUCGAUACCUUUUUUUGUAACACCAAAGAAAAAUUAGAAUCUUUAUAGUGUCAGGACUCUUGAUACUUGGUAGAUGCUUGAGAAGAAGGCUGUAUUUGAAGAUAUGGAGAAUGUGGUAACCAUAUGACUAAGGUCAACUAACUUUUGCUUGCUAAAGUGGAACUCUGUCAAAAAUUUAUCUGUAUCUAUCUCUUUUUUGUAGUCAUCAGUAGAUUUACUCUUCCAUAUGUAUCAGGGUCAAGUUGUUGAAAUAUAUCAGUCCUUAAUAGGUGUUAGCACAAUUUAGAUGAGCAAAAUAUUUAAGGAACGUAUGUACUUCAACUUGGCAUGCAAAACGAGUUAUACAAAUGGUAGAUUAGCUAGUUGGUAAUUUAAUGAGAAUCCUUUCCAUUGGACUUGAUUCAUUGAUAGAGAAGCAAAGCACAAUGUUACUUCCUGAUACAUAAUGUAUUUAUGCCUCGUAUAGAUAUAUUAUGAUUGUUAGAAUUAAACAUGUUUUAUUUUGCACAGGCAAGGCCGUAUCCAAGACGGGCUUUUGGUGUUGGUGAGAGCUCAACAACUUUUGAUGAACUUGGCCUGUCUGGCAGACAGGAGGCCUUGUUUCUGGAGUUAAUAUAGCAGAUAUAGUUAUCGUAAAAUUGUAAUAGGAUCUCGAAGAGUUUACCCAGAUGGACCAACUUUGUUUGUUAGUUGUAAAAGUUGUUUAGAGAUGGAUAUUUUGUCAAAGUUUGUAUCUAUUGGGUAUUUGGUCUUUUAGUCAGACUGUGGCUCAUACAGUUUGAAGUUGAUAUCAAAUCUUAGAUGAGAAUGUUUGCAGUUUGAAAUUACUGAACAUUGUUUCUUGAAUUCGAUAUCGAAUUUUAAACGAGAAUAUGUCCAGUUCCACUACAAGAGAAAGCGAUUCUACCAAUGGAAUUUGCUAAGGGAAAUUAGUCCGUUGGUAGUUCCCAACGGAUUUGUAAUGAUUUGACUAGUCAAUGUUCUGCCAACCAAGUCGCAACGAAAUACCCACGUUUAUUUACCAACGAAACGUUCCGUUAAGAAAUAUAACCACAUAAUGGAAUAGUAACAAAAGGCCAAGGAAUGAGCAACAGACUAGUAACGAAAAUAUCUGUUAUUACGUUCAUUGAUAUUCCGUUGAUAAAUACUAACAAUUCCGUUAGUAAUUGAUUAUUAGUUUUAUAACAUGGACAAUUGAUAUACACUACAUGAGCAGUCUCUUAUUUGACAUUUGUGUCAUGCUAAAGCCCAAUGGGCUUUAGUCGAUUAAAUUGAUUUGGGUUGUAGAAAACGGCCAAUAAUAUAAUGGACUUUGAUAUGUAUCGUAAAUAUUAAGUAAUUUUCUUGGAUUUAUGUAUAUAACAUAAUUGUUAAUUGGCUCAUCCUUAACUAGAAAUUUUAUAUUACAUUCUUAACUAGAAAUUUUAUAUUUAAAAAAAAUUAAUCUUUUAUGUGGUAUGUGGAUUUUGUAGUCAAAUGCGGUCAAUUUACUUAGCCUUUGAUCGGAUACCUACCCAAAACAUAAAAAUAUUUUUUAUUUUCGAUGAUCCAGCUAUACGGAUAUUAUUGUAAUGUGAUAAUAUUGAUUAAAUUUUUUUUUAAAAAAGUAGCAUUUUAUUUGGUAUGUGAAUUUUGUAGUCAAAUGCAAUUAAAUUACUUAGUCUCUAAUGGAAUACUUGCCCGAAACAUAAAACUAUUUUCUUAAAACACAAUUUGGACGAUCCAACCAUACAGAUGUUAUUAUAACGUGUUAAUAUUGGUUAAAAUAAUUUUUAAGAAUAUAUGUCUUUUAUUUGGUGUGUGGAUCUUGCAGUCAAAUGCGGUCAAAUUACUUAGCCUUCAAUCGAAUACUUACCCAAAACAUGAAACUGUUUUUUUAAAAAUCAUUUCGGACGAUCCAACCGUACGGAUAUUAUUGUAAUGUGAUAAUAUUGAUUAAAUUUGUUUUUGAAAAAUUUUAGCUUUUGAUUUGGUGCGUGGAUUUUGUAGUCAAAUGCGGUCAAACUACUUGGCCUUUAAUGAAAUACUUACACGAAACAUGAAAUUAUUUUUUUUUAAAACCAUUUUGGAUGAUCCAACCGUGCGGAUGUUAUUAUAACGUGUUAUAUUGAUUAAAAUAUUAUUUAAAAAAUAGCCUUUUAUUUGGUGUGUGGAUUUUGUAGUCAAAUGCUCAAAUUACUUAGCCUUUAAUCGAAUACUUACCUUAAACAUGAAACUAUUUUUAAAAAAAUUAUUUUGGAUGAUUCAAACUGUAGGGAUGUUAUUUUAACAUCUUAAUAUUGAUUAAAAUUAUUUUAAAACAAUUUAGUUUUUUUUUAUGUGUGAAUAUUUUAGUCAAGUACGAUAAAUUAUUUAUUUAGCCUUCAAUGAAAAAUUAAAAAUCCCGCACAGCCAAAAGUUUUCCCUCGUUUUGUGAAUCUUCCCCAGCCAUUUCCCCCCAACCCCAACCCCGAAAUUCACAAAACUCUCCCCCCAAAUUAGCUCGGCCUCUCCCAAAUCUCUAUCUCUCUUUGUAUAUCUUUAGGUGUGUUUUGUAGAGGCGGCCACCUCCAAAGCUUCAAAAUAAUCAAACUUAUCACCGCCGCUGUUCGAGAAUGAAUUUCUUUUAGGAGAUUCGUCGAUUUAGUUAUCAAAUUAGUUACCAUUAGGGUUCUACUCCGAUUUUCAAUAGUAUGAUGUUGGGGUUCGAUUGGUCGAUUGUCAUGUUUUAUAAGUUAUGUGGGUUCGAUUUUGAUGUUUUUACAAUUAGGUUUAUGUAUGUUUUUAUACGGGUUUCAUGUUCAUGUUUCGAUUUGUUGAUUUCCUAUUUUUCCUAUAUGUUAAUUUGUUAUUUGUGUGGAUUUUGGAUUUUGAUGUGUGUGUGUGUAAUGCCCUGUUUUUUUUUCAUUUUUUCAGGUUCGAACACUUCGAUUAGUAGCCGGAAAAACAACUGAUGCGGCAGUAGCGGCUAGCAAGGAGAUGAAUAACAAGAAAAGGCCGAUUUCGAGGUCAUCUCGUGCAAGUCUUCAGGUAUAGUUUUAUUCCUUUAUAUUUUUAAUCGACAUAAAUCUAACAAGUAAUUAUAGUUCUAACAAGUAAUUAUAGUUCUGAAUGGGGAGCUUAUUGUGAAAUUGAAUUGAGGGACAAGUUGUGUUAUUGGUUCCAGUAGAUAAAUUUAUGUUGACACUUGAUAUAUGCAUUUUUCCACUAUGAUGCUCCCUUUGGUUUGCUUAAGGUCAAGUACCGUUACUUAAUGCAUUUACAAGUAUUCCAGAACAAGUUUGUGCGCCAUAGUGCUACCUUAAUCUAUGAAUUUGAUGCCAGGCACUUUAGGUGUUAUCUCUUAUUGAUUUUUUAUUGGAGAGUUUGGGUGUUUUCUGGAAGAAGUAUAUAGUGAGAGCAGAGGUUUUCAUUUUCGUCAUGAUUUACUCUAAUGUUUCUAAUGUUCACCUGUUAACUGCUGUAGAUUUGGGCUUUAUCUAUUUCUACAUAAUUUAUUUUUGUCUUUGUUGCUGCUUCUUGAUAAUUUUCAAUAAUUGAAACUUUUGUUACAAAUAUAUGCUUGCUAGUCAAUUGUAUGUAGAAAUCUCUAACAAAACUUUAACUUUUACCUUUGAAAUUUAGUUACGAAUUUAAAGAAUUUGACUAGAACUUCAGUCGGUGGAUUCUUGACAUUUUUAUGUAAAUCAUAUAGUAUUCAGGAGUUACCCUGUAAAAUGCCCACAAAUCUUAAAUUAAUUAGAAGUCAAGUAAUAAGCUUAAGGCCUCUGAGACUGUGUCUGCAUUCUAGAUUUCAAUACAUUCUAUAUCAUAAUGUUGUUAAACUGCUUUUUAGCAAGUGCUUGAGUUUUUGGUAUCUACAUAUAAGAUUAUCUAAGAUAUCAAUUUAUUCAUGAGAGCAGGUUGAUGACAAGUACCGAUACAUGUGUGAAAAAAAAAAAGAUAACAUGGUCCAUGGAGUUGGUUCUUUGCAAUCUCUCUUUUAUAAGCCGGAGAUUCCUUGCAGUCCAUCCUUUGCUGAUGCAGAAAAUCAGAAGUUGCACGAAGAACUAAAUGUGAUGAAGGAUAAGAUGAAAGCAAUGGAGAAUCAAAUAGCUAUGGUUGUGUUAGUACUAGCUAGUUUUCAAGCCUCGUUAGUAAUUGAUGGCUCCUUUUAGAUAUAAUACUUGAACACUAUUGUAUCGGGUAACUCUUAUCUCAUUUUGAAGAUCGUAAAGAAACGUUUAUUAUGUAAAAAGAGUACACUUUUGUUAUUUCUUUAUUUGCAUUUUUAUAGACAUAAAAAUGAACAAUUCUAGAAAAUGAAAAAUUUGCACUGUAUUUGAGCAUGCAUACCAACAGAAUAUGUUUAUAUCUACUAACGGAAAUUUAACAACCGAAAGAGUCUUUUAGUUCUUUGUUGUUAAAUUUAACAAUUUUGACUAUACUUAACAUCAGAUUUUCCGUUGGGAAUAUGUUGCUAGAAUUGCCAACCGAAUAUUCUGUUGGCGGGAUGGUGUUUCUUUUGUUAUUUUGCAAAAUAGAGGUCUGUUACGAGAUUGUUACUACUCGGUUGCUAACUUAGCAACGGACACCUAAUUCGGUUGGCGAGGUGCUUCCCAACGACGUUUACUCUAACGGUCCAGUUCAGUGGGCAUUCCGUUAGGAAUCUCUUUUACCAACGGAUUUUCUUGAUUUGCCAACAUAAUAUUUCGUUGGGAAUAAUGAAAUUUCUUGUAGUGUUCUAACUUGAAAGUUAUGCAAAUUACGUUAAUAAUAUCAUCAAUUUUGAGUCUCUUGGUCUUCGGUCUUCUAUUGCAGCAUAUCAUACACUUCUCAAGUGAUUGAAAAUGAACUCUCUCCAAAAGGCAAGGGGUCUGUCGAAGUAGACCUGGAAUUGAUUUUACUUGAAGAAACAAUAAUAGUUCACCUUUUAAAGUUUUGGUCUUUGUCUUUUGUCUCUCAAAGUCUUGAUCUUUGUCGUUUACAUCUCAUACAAUUUGCUAUCGUAUUGAACACUUCACACAAUUUCAUACUAUCGUAUUGAACACUUCACACUUCACACAAUUCCAUAAUAUUGAAGAUUUUUGGCUUGAAAUAUUCUAGAGAAUAAGAUUGUACAUAAAAUCCAACAAUUUAUUUCCUUUUCUACAAUAUUACAACUCAUAUAUUUGUUGCCAAUGACUCAUUCAAUUCGCAUCAAUUACUAUCAUCUUCACUUUAUCAAAGAGUCUUGCUCUUUGUCCUCUACAUGCUUUUAUCACGGUCCCCAUGUUAGUGUGAUUUGAAAAUACUUGUGUUACAGUCCACAUAUUGAUAAAUAGACAAAUUAUAAUAUUUAGUUCAUUAAUGAAUAGAUAAGACGUUCAUGUGUAUGUAUUUGAAAAAUAAAAUAUUAUGAAGCUAAAUGAAUAAACACUUCUGAAGAGUAAAACGCGUUUCUGGUCCAUUUUGUAGCUUGAAGAAAUGAAGCAGAAGUCAAGAUUUUCUUGAAGAAACGAAAUUUUAUAAAAGUUAAAAACAAUUCGAUAAUUAUUGUCUUUUCAAAAAACGGGGCACGCAACACUCUUUUAUAUCAUCUUUCAAUUCUUAGAGUCUUCCUUCUGCUACUCCAAAAGUGGUUCUAUUAUAGGUCACAUAUUAAUAGAUCGAUACAAAUUUAUUAAAAAGAUCCUUAUUUUCAACGAUCAAUAUCAGUUUGACUAUAAAUUUAUCUGAAAUGACCCUUGUUAAUGGACUCUAGCUUAUAGGGUCAAACUUGGCUAUACAUGCCUCGGAGAAAAUUCAUCAGUUCGUAGAAGAGACCUUUCUGCAUCAACUCUAUGAAAAAUGCAGCACUUAUCAUCUAAAUAAAAAUUAGUAAGACUAUCUUAGAUUCUCUGAAGUGUUUAUAUUGCAGCCGCUUGUAUUGAAUACACACAUAAAUAACCACACAUAAUCAGGAAGGUUCGAAAUUUUUUGGUUUAACCAUAUCACCAACAUGAAGAAAAGACUUUCAAGCGUCAUAAUAGCUAAGAGCAUCUCCAACGGCAUUGGCUAUAAUCGUUGGCUAAAUUAGACAUGUAAGACAUUAUGUAAAAUUUGCUGAACCUGUAAGACAUUUUGCUUCAAUGGUAUUGGCUAUAUUAAUUAGUUGGCUAUAAUUUAAAAAUAGUAUGUUAUUAAUAUUUUAAAUUGUUAAAAUAGAAUAUAUCAGUUCAAUAUGGUAAUAAAUGAUUUACAAUCUUCCUACAGAUUUUCUUACAAACCUGUAGAGGUUCAACAAAUUUAGUCAUCCAUAGGAGGUUGGCUAAAUUUAUAGACAACAGCUGAGCAUGGUUGGAGGUGAGUUUUUGGAGCUGUUACCUAAAUUUUUUUAUUUUAAGUAUGUUAACUCACAUUUUAGCCAAGGGUUUUAGAUGGUUGGAGAUGCUUUGAGAGUUUUUUAUAUUCAGGAUAGCCCCGGUCUAGAUUAUUAUAAAAAACUUGUUUAUAUGGAGACAUAAUAAAGGUCCCAGAAUUUUUUACUCUUCAAGAUUUCCGUUUCUAGCCAAAUUUUUUGACCAUAAAUAAUAUAUUGGUUUUACCUGAAAACAAAAUUUAAAGAAAAUUCAAACUUUUUUAUUAGAGUACUUCUUUUCUUUUAUUAUUACUUCUUUUCUUUUAUUUUGAAAUUGCAAAACAGCUCAAAGUAGUUCUAAAAGAAUCAUUCUCCCCGCUAGGAUCAGUUACAAUUAAGAUUGACAAGAUGUUUUAGCUGCGAGUUCUUCAAAUUAUUGCUCGUAAGGUCCAUGACAGCUUAGAUAGUCACCAAAGCUUUGGCCUGUGGAUUAAGUUGAUGAAAUCUAGUGCAUUAAAAUCAAUGACAGCACUAUUUUAUGGGAUUGAUGCUCGCUCUUAAUAUUAUGCGUUUUUCUAAUGUGUGUGCCCAAAGACACACAAUAAACACUAAAUUUGAUAAAAAAAAUCGUAAUAUUAGUCAUUCCGCUCAUAAAUUUCAACCAGAGAAGAAAGAGCAUCGUGACUGUCAUUGUAUCCUUAAAAUUUGUUCGAUUAGGUUUUUUACAUAGUUUGCGCGUGGUCAUCAGGGUAGGCCUUCAUUAUAUUAAGCCAAUCUAGCUAGUAAUUCCAUAUUAAACAAGUUUAAAAUUUUCAAAUUUUGAUCUUAAUAAAUUUGUAAAAAUAGUAAACUUUUUCUUAUUUAUGAUAUUCACAAAUCUCUUACUUUUUUAUUACUGUAUUCAACUAAAUAUUUUUUAUAAACACUCAUAAAUGCAUCACAUCAGUUAUGAAAUUUAAAACAAAUAGUUUAUAGCCCGUGUAAGGCACGGGAGUUUUUUAAUUAUUUAUAAAUUUCUUAAAUAUAUUUUAAAUGGUGUGAAAAAAUUUAAUUUAUAAAUAAUAAAUUAAAAUUUUCAAUAAAAUAAAAUUCGAAAUUAUAAUUUGUUUGUAAGUUAGAACUGUGGUAAAUACAUCAUCAAGCCCAUUAAUGGUUUCAAAUAAACUAUUGUAAUGAAGCCAUUCUUUUUCUCGUAUGUACCGUGGCAAAGAAUUAAAUUCUGUUUAUCAAAUUUUAAUAUAUUUUGAGUGGAAUACGUUAUUGCCAACUCUUAUUAGAUUAUAUUUAUAAAUGUAUUUUAUAUUAGAAUUAUUAUAGUGUGAUUUAAAUAGUCCGCAAGGGUUAGUUUAGCUGGUUAAAAAGAGGACAUGUAUCCUCUUGGUCACAGGUUCGACUCUCAAAGGGUGGAUUAACGCUAUUGCGUGAUCCACUCCCAAAGGGUGGAUUAACCCUCCAAAGGGUAGCUGUUGCGGGUUCCUAGAUUACAAAAAAAUAAAAAAAUAUAUAAUGUGAUUUAAAUAUUUUUCAAAAAAUUUAUAUGGUUCCAAAUUAAAAUUGAUAAACAUAAUUUGUUGUGAUUUAAAUAUUUUUCAAAAAAUUUAUAUGGUUUCAAAUUAAAAUUGAUAAACAUAAUUUGUUUUUGAAUUAAGAAAAGGAAUCAUAAACAUGCAAUAAGAAGGUAGAAUCUAUUUUGGAUUAAGAAAAAGUUUUUGUAUUUGCUAAUCACAUAAAUCCGGCUUAUUAAUUUUAAAAUAUAUUAUAAAAAAAUUGUGACGGUGAGAUUUAUAUGAUUAAAAAAUUUUUGUAUUUGCUAAUCACAUAAAUCCGGCUUAUUAAUUUUAAAAUAUAUUAUAAAAAAAUUGUGACGGUGAGAUUUAUAUGAUUCUACGAAUAAAACUGGUAGAAAAUAUUUAUUUGGGAUUAAAAAAAUCAUAUACACGUGAAAGACAUAAUUUGUUUUGGAUUCAGAAAAAAAAUUAUAAAUAUGCAAGGUGAUAUCAGUUGCCUUGUAGAACAGAAGUUGAUUUUCGAAUCUAACGGUGCUUAUUUGUUCAAUAUAAGAUGCAACGGAUGAUAAACUUUUGGACCAGAGAACCAUGCGACCAAAUUAUCUCCCUUACGCUUAUUAUAUAUAAGUAUAUAAUAUGUCCAAUUUCUUUGAGAAAGAUGGUUGUAUAAUUUUUAGUUUAAAAUUUUAAUUAUUUUUAUUUUUAAUAUAAUUUACAACUAAAAAGUUUUAUUAUAUUUUGACUGCUUUGUAAUACAAUUAAAUAUAUCUUAAAUACACUUUUUCCUAUAUAUAUACGCUAACCUCGAGAGAUGUUGAAGAUCGUCCGAAACAAAAUUUGAAAGGGAAAAUGAAAAUGAGGAAUUGCAACCUCUGUUUUUUCACCAUCAGUAUGAUGCUCAUCUUCUUGAAGUUGCAGCACCACCUGGUGGCUUCUUCAUUAAGCCCCCACUUGCAGAAACUUGCCUUGUUUCACCUUAAGCAAAGCUUCACAAUCACUCCUCCUCGCUUCCCUUGCUCCUAUUAUUCCUACGAAGAUAAUGAGGGGUAUGAAAUUCCUUCUCGGCCAAAGACAAUGAGUUGGAGCAUGAGUACUGAUCACUGCACAUGGGAUGGAGUUAGCUGCGACAACAAGACAGGGGAUGUUAUCGGACUGGAUUUAAGUUGCAGUCAGCUGGAAGGAGCCAUUCUUCCUAACAGCACUCUCUUCCAACUCUCUCAUCUCCGCUUCCUCAAUCUUUCUCAUAACAACUUUUCCCUCUCCAGUCAGUUCCCUCCGGAAUUUGGUUUCUUUGCAAAAGGUCUGACGCAUCUCAACCUCUCUAAUAGUUAUUUAUCAGGGAGAGUUCCCUCUGGAAUCUCUCAUUUGUAUAAACUAGUCUCACUUGAUCUCAGUGACAAUGAUGGGACUAAACUUGAAGAAGAAGUAUUUAAAUCAAUGUUGCAGAAUUUAACGCAUCUCGGAGUGCUUAAUCUUAAUAACGUUAAUAUCUCCUCUAUUUUUCCCGUGAAUAUCUCUACUUCUUUAAGAGUUCUUCAAUUGUUGUAUACUGGUAUACACGGAGUAGUACCCCAAGAGGUUUUCCACCUUCCCAACUUGGAAUUACUUGAUUUAUUAUAUAAUUACGACCUGAGAGCUACAUUACCCAAAGUUAAGUGGGGAAGUAAAGCUACCCUCCAACACCUUCAUCUUUCAGAAAUCAACAUAGAUGGAGGUAUACCUGACUCAAUAGACUUUUUAAAGGACUCAUUAGUCAGUUUGUAUCUGGGCGGCUGUAAUUUGUCUGGGCCUAUACCAAGAUCCAUUGGGCACCUCGUUCAACUUACUCAGUUGGGCCUCCAUGAUAAUAAUCUCAAUGGCCCAAUUUUAACUUUUUUUACCAACCUUACAGACUUAAGAUAUAUCUACCUUGAAGGUAACAAUUUUACGGGUCCGUUUCCCUCUUUUCUUGCCCACUCCAGUAAACUAGUUGUGUUGCAUAUUGAGAGUAAUAGCUUUACUGGAUCCCUACCUCGUUCGUUGUUUCACCAUCCAUCCUUAGAGUACUUGUUUCUGGAACUUAAUGCAUUCACGGGUCCACUACAUGAAUUUGAUUCUUCUCGGUCCCGGCUGCAAUAUUUUUCUUGUUCCAGCAAUUUACUCAAUGGAUCCAUUCCACAUUCAUUUUCUCAACUUGUCAAUCGCACUGACCUAGAUUUUUCUUCAAACAAUUUCACCGGGGUUUUGGAUUUGGAAAUGUUUUCAGGUCUCGAAUUUCUAGAACGUCUUGAUCUUUCUGAUAACAGUCUUUCAGUGACAAGUACAAUCAGUGGCACCCUCCCUCCUACGCUUAUAUACUUGGGCUUGUCUUCUUGCAACAUGAAAGAGUUUCCUCGCUUUUGAACAGAUGCAAACAUCUUCCUGGAUUCUAUAGACCUGUCAAACAAUAAAAUUGACGGGGAAAUUCCACACUGGAUUGGGUCGCUGGGGGUGUCCUAUCUGAAUCUUUCUCACAACAAACUAAUAGGCGGUCUUGAGCAACUGCCUUGGGGUUAUAUUAAUUAUCUUGAUCUCCAAGACAAUAAGCUGAAUGGAUCGUUGCCCACCUUGAUGUGUAAUUCCAGCUCUCUUGAGAUUCUAAAUCUCUCUCACAACAAUUUGAGUGGUGUACUCCCCAUUUGUCAUACAAAUUUGACUCAGCUUUCGGUGUUGGAUCUGCGGAGGAAUAAAAUUCAAGGAAACAUUCCAGCAACCUUGUCAAAUUUCCAUAAUCUGGAAACCAUUAAUAUGAAUGGAAACCAAUUACAAGGAAGCAUUCCUUCUUCAUUUGCUGAAUUUGAUUCUUUAGCCGUUCUUGAUCUUGGAAAUAAUCAGAUAAAUGAUACAUUCCCCCGGUGUUUGGAAGCUCUUCCAAAUCUCCAAGUUCUUGUUCUCAAAUCUAACAAGUUUUGUGGUCUUAUAAACACGAGUUCUAAGAUUGUACACCCAUUUCCUAGCUUGAGAAUCAUUGAUCUGUCGGACAAUGAGUUUUCAGGUCCACUGCCAGCAAAAUACUUCAGAAACUUCAAGGCUAUAAUGAAUAGUGAUGUAAGCAAAAUAGAUCGUAGUUAUAUGAAUCAUAGUUUCUAUUACAGUGAUUCCACGGCUCUGGUGAUUAAAGGAGUAGUCAUAGAGUUGGUAAAGAUAUUAACUAUUUUUACAACCAUGGAUGUGUCAAGGAACCAGUUUGAAGGGGAGAUUGUAGAAUCAAUUGGAAAUCUGGUGUCACUUAGAUAUCUCAAUUUAUCACAUAAUCAUCUCAGAGGCCACAUACCACGGUCGAUUGGAAAAUUGACUGUGCUGGAGUCACUAGACCUCUCAUCCAAUGAACUUGAAGGAGAAAUUCCUCCGCAACUCACUGGUUUAUAUUCACUUGCAGUUCUAAAUCUUUCUUGCAACCAACUUAGAGGCCGUAUACCAGAAGGGUCACAAUUCAAUACGUUUGAAAUCUACAGCUACGCCGGGAACUUUGAAUUGUGUGGAAAACCCUUGUCAAAAAAGUGUGAAAAUUAUGUGAGGGUACACAAAGAAGACGAAGAAGAUGAGGAUGAAUAUUACUUUUUCAGUGGUUUUACAUGGGAAGCGGUGGUGAUUGGAUAUGGGUUUGGAGUGGUGCCUGCAUUUAUCGCCGGGUACUUGAUGUUGCUGGCACGGAAACCAAAAUGGUUUGCUGGAAUCAUUGGCAGGGAAUUGGGCCUCAAGAUCAGGAGGAUGGAGAUUAGAAUGCGAUAACUACAGGUUUGGUGUAAUCUGUAUCCCAUUCCCAGGUCUUGAAAAUUCUGUAAUAAUAUAGUAAUAUCUGCUCUCAUAUAAUUCUAUAUUUGCAGAUUCAGAUGGGACAAGCAGGAUUCAGAUGCAUUGCAUUGGAUUCAGAUGGGACAAGCAGGAUACAAGUUAUGUAGUAUUGUUUUGUUCCAGCUCUUAUCUGAUCUGCAAUCAAGUUAAUGAACCACUACCUCAGUUGUUAAGCAUCUUUCAGCAUUUUAAUUUUACAACUCACAAUAAAAGAUUACAUGUGUAUUAAUCUGAUCAUCAUUGGUUUAGAUCAAUAUAGAAGUUCGGCUUUGUUUAUUUCUAUCCCGGGCUCCUCAUUUUUAGAACAUAUUUGUUGAUACUUUUUAUGGAACGGUUAAGAAUAUUCCAUAGAUUUUUAUAUUCAGUGCUAGAUGAUUUUAUGUCCUGUUUUCAUUCCAAUUUCCGUUCAUGAACUAAUUAAAAAUCUGAAAGUGGGUCAUAUCUGGCAGUGAUGCCCACCUUUCUGGACCUGAAUUUCAUGACCACACAAACUCCAAUUCUGCCCAAAAAUUGCAGCUGUUUCGUAAAAUAUUUUUACGUGCUCUUUUGUUUGGACUUGUUUGCUGGACCAUGCAUAUGUUUUGAUACAAACAUCUUCGUGUAUGUUAACACUCUUGUGUCAGUUUCUGGACUCAUUGUUAGUAGCCCAUUCUUUACGGCAGACAUUGAAUUGGAUUUACUUGAAGAAAUGAAGGUUUAAGAAAGUUGAGAACAAUUUGUUGAUAAUUUCCUUCCCUAGAAACUGCACUCCAGCAUCAAAGUACCUUUCAAAGACUCCAGACAUCAUCUCUUGAUUAUCGAAGACUUGGUCUUGCAUAUACUGAUAUACAGUGAAUAUAGAUUUCUUUCAUUUCCUUGAAAUUGCAUUUUUGGAAGUAGCUCUCCAGACUCAUUCCCGUCACUUCUUAAAGUCUUAUUCCUCCUCAAUACUACAUACACGUAAUAUCACACCACUUUGCUCAUGCUCAGAUGGGUUUUUCUUACAAACCACAUAUGUUCACUUCUCAGAGUCUUAGUCCUCGUCAAUGUAUAGAGAUAAUAUCUCACCAUUUGCUAGUGCUACAAAUGGGCUUCUCCUACAACCACACAUAAUCGGAGAAAAGUCUGUCAAGUGUCAAGUGGACUUGAAAGACCCUUGUGCAUGGAUUAUUGUAUGUCAUGAAUGCCUUCUGAUAUCCCUGAAAGUGCAAGCAAGUUAUAAAAGUAGCUGGGCAGACUCUUUCUCAUCAAUACAUUCACAUUUAAAGCGGGCGUUGAUAUGCCUCCCUAAUUUUCUAAUGCCCUAGACGGAAUUCUAUUACAAUCCACAUAUGAUGGGUAGCGAUCAUCAAUUCAAAGAAGAGACUAUCAGCAGCUUGCAGGAAAUGUCCCCUCUGCAUGGAUUAUCGAAGAAAGGAACUUAUACCUAUAAAGAUGUAGAAAACCAAUGGUAAGCAUAACUGCAUAUAAGAUACAAAACUAAAUUUAAUACAAGACUCGUUCUGAGCAUUGGAAAAUAUAAUUCAUCCUGGUCUUCGUCUUCUACUUCUCCAAAUAUGCUUUUAUUGCAGCCAAUGUAUUAGUGAAAAGAAUUAAAUUUAAAUUAAUUGUAGACCGCAAAUAUAAGAUUAGGAGAGUUUCUACAACCCACAAAUUAGUAGACAGACUAAUAUGGUUAGUUGAGACCAUCAAUCUGGAGAAACUGUUUCUACAAUGACCCAUAUGUAUGAAUUAUUGAAGAAAGAAACUUAUACCUACAAUGUAAAGGAAAUGGUCACGAGUAUAUUGCAUUUUUAAUCCAAAUUGUAUAUGAUUCUCUCUGUGCUACUGAUAGUUAAUAAUAAAUCUACAACGGAACUUGCAGUUAAUCAAGGUAUUUAAGUCUACCUUUCUACAUUGUUGAAUAGUUUGAAUUAAAUAAUUGUAAUAAAUUUUUUGCUGGAUGCUGUGUGAGUUUACCAGAGCUUAUCACGGUGAGAAGUUCACUAAAGCUCUUGGAAUUAGUAAAUAAAAACUCAGGGCAGUGAAUUAGAAGUCUGAGUACAAGGCAAUGAGCAGGAAACAACAUAGGGAGUUUACAACUAGAAGUAUCUAUUCUCCCCCAGUCUUUUUGUGAACAUCAAGAGGCCAUUCAUAUUGCUCACAAACCAGUUAAAAGUGGCAGGACUACACAUAAUGAAUCACACAGUCACUUUAUGUGAGAAAAGAAAAUUGUCAGGACUGCAAUGCAUUUCUAGCCCAUUUUGUACAGCAGCUCAAACGUUUAAAAAACUUCAUUAAUUAUUUUCUUUUAUUGAAACCACACUCAUCCAUCAAAGUAGCUCUCAAAGUCUAAUUUCCAUCACCUUCUGAUUCUCAAAGUCUUCUUCUUCGUCUUAUAUUGCACGCCACAUAUUAGUAGACAUACUACAUCAACUCUGUAGAAAGAAACAAUCUAUAGUAGUUGAUGUACAAUGUUAUUAUGUAAAUGUAUAAUAUCAAAAUUAGGAAUAGAAAUCACGCCCUAAUAAUUAACCCUCUGCAGGGGUUAUUAAAGAAAGCAGCUUAUAACUUUAGUUGCUGAACAUUUGUGUGGGCCAAAUUCAAUUUUACACAUCAUUACUAGAUUUACACAUGGUAUUAGACAUCAGUACUAGUAUAAGAUGUUAAUCAAGUUUUGGAAUUUCUUUUAUUUCAGAAAACAAGUUUUUAACUCUCUUUUUUUUUUGUGGUAUUAAUUAUUUAUAUCACGCAUUUGAGCUUUAAAAUUAGCUCUAAAUAAAAGUUGAUUUUCGCUCAAAGAAACAAUGAUGUAUAAGAAGAUUUUCAGAACUGAAUUAUUUCUUUCCAUUUUUACAGUUCCAUUCAAGAACCGAAAGCAGCUCACAAAGACUCACUACAUCAUCUUUCAAUUCUCAUAGUGUUGGUCUUUGUCUUCUGCUGCUCAAAAAUUCUAUUACAGCCCACAUAUCAGUAUCAUAUACCUAAUUAUAAAUAGUAUUUAACACUUAACACCAUUAAAGAUUUGUCUCAGAGACUUACUUCCAUCACCUUAUGGUUCUCAAACUCUUCGUCUUCUAAUGCUCCAAAAGUUCUAUUAGUGCAGGCCACAUAUUGGUAAACAGACUACAAUUCAUCCAAAAUGACCCUCUUAUUGGACACUUUGAACACCUCUGUCUGUAUAUGCAUUGGAGAAGAAUUAUCAGCUCGUUAAAAUAACCUCUUCGCAUCAACUCUAUGGAAAGAAGCAAUUCAUACCUAAAGUACAAUGUUUGGAUAAAAUUAGGGAUAGCAACCGCACGCUAAUUUUUUAGUUGAAGCAGGCUACCUUAGUGUAAUUAACUGAACAUCCCCGUAAUUUCUUGACAGGCCACAAUUAAGGAAGUUUACAGAAUUACAUUCCAGAAGUAGCUCCCUGAGACAGAUUCGCAUCAUCUUUCAAUCUUCAAAGUUCUUUAUACUUAUAUUAUAUUUCAUGUUUUAUUGUAAUGAACAUAGCAGUUUCCUGUUCAGUAAUAUUCCAGGCUCAGGUUCUUCAUUCCAAGUCUCUGUUACAUGUUUGCUACUAAAACGUAUUAAACAGUUAUUAGUUUAUGACUGUAUUCCAUCUUGAAAGGAGAUCUCAAAGACUCAUUCCCAUAAUCUUCAGAAUCUCAAGUCUUGAUGAACUUGGCCUUCAUCAUAUUUGUACUCUUGUAAUUCCAUAUUAAUCAAGUUUAAAUAUUAAAAUUUUUAAUUUUAGUAAAUUUGUAAAAAUAGUAAAAUUUGUCUUAUUUAUAAUAUUUAUAAAUCUCUUACUUUCCUGUUACUGUAUUCAACUUAAUAAUUUUUACAAACACUGUGCAUCACAUAAGUUAUGUAAAUUUAGAACAAAUUAUGUCCAAUUUAUUUAAGAGAGAUUGUUAUAUUGUUUUUACUUUAAAAUUAAUGGUAUCUUUUAUUUUUAAUAUAAUUUACAGCUAAAAAUAUUUGAUAUAUUUUCACACUGCUUCUUAUUUUUGUAAUAUGACUAAACAUAUCUUAAAUACACUUUUUUCCUAUAUAUAUGCUAGCCUCUCGAGAUGUUGAAUAGAUCAUCCCAAACAAAAAAAUUUAAGGGAAAUAGAAAAUGAGGAAUUCCAUCCUCUGUUUUUCCACCAUCAGUUUGUUGCUCAUCUUCCUGCAGUUGCAGCACAACCUAGUGGCUUCUUCAUUAAGUCCCCACUUGCAGAAACUUGCCUUGUUCCACUUUAACCAAACCUUAACAAUCAGUACUACUAGCUGGGAUUGCGAGUACUAUUCCUACGAUGGAUAUUACGAAAUUCCUUCACGGGCAAAGACAAAGAAUUGGAGCAUGAGUUCCGAUCACUGCACAUGGGAGGGAGUUAGCUGCGACGACAAGACAGGGGACGUUAUCGGACUGGAUUUAAGUUGCAGUCAGCUGGAAGGAGCCAUUCUUUCUAACAGCACCCUCUUCCAGCUCUCUCAACUCCGCUUCCUCAAUCUUUCUCACAACGGCUUUUACAAUCAGUUCCCUCAGGAAUUUGGUUUCUUUGCAAAAGGUUUGACGCAUCUCAAUCUCUCUCGUACUGGAUUAUCAGGGAGAGUUCCCUCUGGAAUCUCUCAUUUGUAUAAACUGGUCUCACUUGAUCUCGGUCGCAACUAUAGGGCUUGGGCUAAACUUGAAGAAGAAGUGUUUAAAUCACUGUUGCAGAAUUUAACUCAUCUUGAAGUGCUUAAUCUUGAAGGGGUUAGCAUCUCCUCUGUUUUGCCCCUGAAUAUCUCUACUUCUUUAAGAUUUCUUGCUCUUGCGGGAACUGAAAUACACGGAGUAGUACCUCAAGAGGUUUUCCACCUUCCCAACUUGGAAUUUCUUCGUUUAUCAUAUAAUGACCACCUGAGAGUAACAUUACCCAAAGUUAAGUGGGGAAGUAGUGCUACUCUCCAACACCUUCAACUUUCAGGCGUCAACAUAGAUGGAGGUAUGCCUGACUCAAUAGGCUUUUUGGAGUCAUUAGUCAGUUUACAUCUGAUCCAGUGUAAUUUGUCUGGGCCGAUACCAAAAUUCAUUGGGCAACUCGUUCAACUUACUCACUUGGGCCUGGCUGCUAAUAAUCUCAGUGGCCCAAUUCUAACUUUUUUAACACGCCUUGCAGACUUCAGAUCUAUCUUCCCUUGAGCAUAACAAUUUUACUGGUCCGUUUCCCUCUUUUCUUGCCCACUCCAGUAAACUAGUUGAGUUGUAUCUUCAUAAUAAUAGCUUUACUGGAUCCCUACCUCGUUCGUUGUUUCACCAUCCAUCCUUAGAGAUCUUGAAUCUGGCAUAUAAUGCAUUCACGGGUCCACUACAUGAAUUUCAUUCUUCUUUGUCACGAUUGCGAUCUUUUUAUUGUUCCAGCAAUUUACUCAAUGGAUCCAUUCCACAUUCAUUUUCUCAACUUGUGAAUCUCACUGAACUAGAUCUUUCAUCAAACAAUUUCACCGGGGUUUUGGAUUUGGAAAUGUUUUCAGGCCUCAAAUCUCUAGGAAUUCUUCAUCUUUCUUAUAAUAGUCUUUCAGUGAGAACUACAACUAUGGCCACUCUCCCUCCUACGCUUAACGACUUGGCCUUGUCAUCUUGCAACAUGAAAGAGUUUCCUCACUUUUCAAGAGAUGCAAACAUCUUCCUCGAUUUUGUAGACCUAUCAAACAACAAAAUUGAAGGGGAAAUUCCACACUGGAUUGGGUCGGUGGGGAGGUACCCUUUCUAUCCAAUCCAUUAUCUGAAUCUUUCUCACAACGGACUAAUAUGCGGUCUUGAGCAACUGCCUUGGAGUCAUGUUGAAUUUCUUGAUCUCCAAUACAAUAAGCUGAAUGGAUCAUUGCCCACCUUGAUGUGUAAUUCCAGCUCUCUCCGGGUUCUAAAUCUCUCUCACAACAAGUUGAGUGGUGUACUCCCCAUUUGCCAUACAAAUUUGACUUCGCUUCGCGUGUUGGAUCUGCGGAGGAAUAAAAUUCAAGGAAACAUUCCAGCAACCUUGUCAAAUUUCCGUAACCUGGAAACUGUUAAUUUGAAUGGAAACCGAUUAGAAGGAAGCAUUCCUUCUUCUUUUGCUGGAUUUGAUUCUUUAGCCGUUCUUGAUCUUGGAAAUAAUCAGAUAAAUGAUACAUUCCCC
rnacentral:lncRNA from 1 species